rnacentral:rRNA from 1 species
GACGAACGCUGGCGGCGUGCUUAACACAUGCAAGUCGAACGGAAAGGCCCUGCUUUUGUGGGGUGCUCGAGUGGCGAACGGGUGAGUAACACGUGAGUAACCUGCCCUUGACUUUGGGAUAACUUCAGGAAACUGGGGCUAAUACCGGAUAGGAGCUCCUGCUGCAUGGUGGGGGUUGGUAAGUUUCGGCGGUUGGGGAUGGACUCGCGGCUUAUCAGCUUGUUGGUGGGGUAGUGGCUUACCAAGGCUUUGACGGGUAGCCGGCCUGAGAGGGUGACCGGCCACAUUGGGACUGAGAGACGGCCCAGACUCCUACGGGAGGCAGCAGUGGGGAAUAUUGCACAAUGGGCGGAAGCCUGAUGCAGCAACGCCGCGUGCGGGAUGACGGCCUUCGGGUUGUAAACCGCUUUGGCCUGUGACGAAGCGUGAGUGACGGUAAUGGGUAAAGAAGCACCGGCUAACUACGUG